AAGCAAAAUCGACUAGUAAGUUCGUACUCUUUUCUCGAAUUGCUUCUCGCCCGUGUUAGGAGUUCGUAAAUCGCUCGCGAUCGAUCGAGCCUGGGAAUCGAAUUCGUUUCUUUGCACGCUCUGGCGAGCACGAGAACGUAGUCAAGGUGUUGCUUCAUACAUAUGUGAAAAAAAAAAGAAACAUAUGUGGGUUCAGAGUGAUUUUAUAAUCUUGAUUGAUUGAUUUGCGAGCUCGAACGAUAUGAUGGAUCGUUCAAUCGUGUUAUGGAGAUAUUGACGAGGAAUGGAGGUUAAAUGGAAUGGUGGUCAUGUUUAGAGUAUUUCCAUUUUGUUCUAAUUUAUUAAUCGAAUUACUUUUUUGUUUAUUUUAAUGCUCGUACUUAAAAAUUUAAAAUAAUUUGUAACCUUAAUUGAAAAAUACUAUUUCAAUCGAUAAUCAAAUAUCAUAAUAUAAUUAUAUUGAAAUAAGCAAAUACUGAAAAUCUCUUAAUGAAAGUUCUUCAAAAAAAGUUUCGUAUAAGGAUCGCCAUUUAUAAUUUUUAUUUGUAAUUAUCUGAAAUUUACGAAAGUUGAGAUUUUAAGAACAUAAUACAUACAAAUUAUUGUAUAUAUUAAAAUACAUAGCGAUUCAUAUAAUAUAAACGAAAAUUAAUUUCGUAUUUGUCUUGCAAUAAAAAUCUUCUCUAUUUUAUGUUAUAUUAAUUCACAUUAAAUUUAUUCUAUAAAAUUGCCAUAGAUAAAAUUAUUAUUUUCAAUGUAAUCGAAAUGCUAAUUGCUUACGUGAGUACAAUAAUUAUCAAGGCUUUUACAAAUUUGCAAAGUUUGAUUUGAGGUUAUAUUUCAAUUAUUGAAAAAAUAUCAAAUAUUAUUGCCUAUUUUACUAGACACUUACUUUAGAUUUGAUUUAGAUUACUUUAGACUAAUUAGAUAGUAAGAUAAAAUGGAUUUUAUUUAUUUUUAUUCAAAAUAAUUUCUAUCGCCUAUGCAUUAUAUAUGGGUAUAUUUAAUUAAUAAUACAUAUAGAUAGAUACACAAUUACUACGUAUCAAUUUUCAGAUAAAUUUUAUGAAGAAUUCGUGGAAAGCAUGUUAAUCGCACAUGAUUAAGGCAGUGAAUAUAUUAAUUACGAACGAUAUCGAGUUGAAUCCAUUAUACUUUCAACCGAGUUAAGUGAAAACAAGAUAUAAAAGUUCGAAAGUGCAUCGUUUUUCAUAAAUCAUAAUGCAAUAUUCAUAGAAGAACGAGAAGUUUUCUUCUUUUUCAUUACAUUAAUCGCAUCUUAUAAACUUCUGUUGUUCACAACUAGUUCAUCGAUGCAACCUGUAAUCGCAGAAUCGUGUGUGCUCAUUUGCCUUGGAGGAAUACGUGCGCUACCAAUUAAAUCAGGCUAAACUGAAGUCGGUUCUAAGAUAAUAUCAAAAUGACUUCUCUGCGCAUUAACUAGCUCGAUAGACACGAUGAAUGAAGCAUAAAUCAAAGUGAAACGAAGAGAAAUAGAUUAUCGGAAGUCGAAGACUGACUAUUGAUUUCUGGGGAGACCAGGAAGUUUAUUCAUGGAAGAACAAGAAGCUUCUUCUUCAUUUAUGUUCAUCCUUCAGUUCCACAAAUAUAUAGUAAAUAAUUCAACGUAACUCGCACAACAUGCAAUCUCAAUCAUAUUUACGAUCACGCGAGCGAAUCGAAACGUAGAAAUUAUUAUGUUCGUGGUAUCGUAUUGAAAGUCCAAAGAAAAGAGGAGAGCUCCUAUUUCCAAGAGACAGUUCGUCGGUUAAUCGAGCGUGCGCUCGAAUUCAACUCGACAUGACAUAACGAUUCGCCGCCAAUUGAUUAAACUUAACGACGAUUAAGAGAAGGCAAAAUGUUGACAUAAAUUUCUAUUAAAGGGUCAUGGGACCGUGUGUAACUGCCGUCGCCAAGAAGCAUUCCUGUUGGAUUAUAUUCAGUUUAAGGAACAAAUAGAAAAGCAUAUAUCAAAGAUGAUACAAUGGAAACGAAUAUUAAUAGAAAGAAGUUUGGAAGAAGAAAAGAUUGCAAGCUCAGAUUUUUCUCAAGGUUGCAAAUGGUACGAUACCGGUGUGUUUCGAUCUUCAAGAGAUAGGUACUUACGUACAAUAAUUCCCUAUAUCCAAGUUAUGCAUGCGGUUUACCUUGUGACAUCUCUUGGCUGCAGCCACGCGCCUUUCUAAUGCGAAUCUCGAACACGACGUAACUGCCUCGACUUAUCUAUCUACAGGGUGUUCUAAACGUAACCUUUCAAAUUUUUCGUGAUAAAUUUAUCACUUGUUAUCAUACGAUAAUCUCUAUUUAUUAAAUGUUAAAAUUCAUAUCAUUGAAAUUAUAUGUUAAACCUCUUUAAGAUGAAAAAUUAAUUCAUUUGUAUUUAUUUUGAAUUUUAUGUUUUUCUUAUACAUUUGUGUUGUAAAUAUUAUAUCUUAGAAAUUGUAGAGUUUGAACAUGUAAUUAAAAUUACUAAUAAUAUAUUAAUUUAUGCUAA